AUUGCGUUGAACCACUAAAUUACUUAUCUAGUGUUGUUUGGGAUCAGAAUAUGUUAGAAUAAUAUAAAUUUGAUUGAGUACAAGUGCUAGAGAUGCAUGAAGAGUGUUUAGAUGUGUGGAGAAACACUUGUUGAAAUUUGGUCCCAAAUGGGCUAAGAAUCCAUAAACAUGUCUUUGGAGAAGUAAAUGGGUUGUCUAGUGUUGUUUGGAGUUAGAAUAUGUUAGAAUACAAUAACUUUGAUUGAUUACAAGUUUUAGAGAUGCAUGAAAAGUGUUUAGAAGUGUGGCGAAAGACUUGUUGAAAUUGGGUCCCAAAUGGGCUAAGAACUCGGAAACAUUGCGUUGAACCACUAAAUGGCUAGUCUAGAUUUUUUUGGGUUAGACCAUGUUCGAAUACAAUAAUUUUGAUUGAUUACAAGUGCUACAGAUGUAUGAAUUGUGUUUAGAAAUGUGGAGAAAGACUUGUUGAAAUUGGGUCCCAAAUGGGCUAAGAACUCGGAAACAUUGCGUUGAACCACUAAAUGACUUAUCUAGUGUUAUUUGGG
rnacentral:lncRNA from 1 species